AGCUCCUGCCUAUAAAAGCAAGGAGGAGAAACAUUUCCAGAACAGUUUGAGGCAGUGAAUUAUUUGGCACAAAGACACUAAGGAACAGGAUCCUCAUUCCAAACACGGUGAUAAGCAGCAGUUGAGCUCCCAGCAGCCAGAGCGAUGCUAAGCUCCAAUUAUAUCAUUAUAUUCCCAGGAAGCACAAAAGCAGACUCCUUACAGACCUGAAAUAGCCCCACAGGGGAUGAGAAUAUAUCUGGGGUCUCUGAGAGCACAGCAGAAGAUUGGCAAUUACAUUUGGGAAACCUGAUCGGACUGGCUUGCCCUGAGUCCUUAGAGAAAAGAUUAAUUUUCCUCAUCAUGAUAUUCUACAUGAUAGAUCUAUAUUUCCACAAACAGUCAAGGUACACUACCCUUCAGGUGGUCACUUCAAAAUCAAACACUAAAAUGCAACUGCAGGAGGUGCAGGGACUUAUAUGUCAAUCUGCCUGUGUGCUGUUGUAUACUAUCUGCCAAAGGCUGUGCAAUCUCAUCUUUCACUUUGUCUCCUAUUACCUCUAGGGGAUAAGGGUGUACUGGAUGCAUCUUUGAGGAUUCAUGAACAUCAGGCCAGGGGGAUUGAGCUAUAUUAAAUUUAAGGGGAAAAGUUCGGAUAUUACAUGA
rnacentral:lncRNA from 1 species